rnacentral:lncRNA from 1 species
CCUGCACUCCACCCAGUGCCCGAAUGUGCUAUAUACAAAUACACUUCACAGCCUUUAAGGAAGGUGCAAGUCGGUGGCAAUUAGGAGAGAUGAAAGAAAGGGAACAGACCUAGGCAGAAAGGUGCUUUGCAACAGCAAAUUACUGGACACCUGUUUGUCUCAAGGAUAAAGAAUUGGGUAACCAUCUUCCUGAACUGGGUCACCACCCAAAAGAUGUGGCUGUUGAGGGCUGUGCAGACCACCUGCGUGGGAACCUGCAGAACUUCACCUCUUCCUGCAGUAUUGCCAGUCAUUUGCUUUCCAUGGUUCUGAUCUUCAGUGGCAGCAUGAAUGCCACUCUAGACUAUUUUUC